rnacentral:lncRNA from 1 species
UAACAUUUUAUCUAUUGAAAAAUUUAAUUUUUAUUUAUUUUUUAAAAUUUGAAAUCUUAUCCCAAAACCCCACGCUCCAACUCUAAACCCUAAAACCUAAACUUUGAAACCUAAACCCUAAAUUCUAAACCCUAAACUCUAAACCUUAAACCCUAAAUCCUAAACCCCAUCCUUUAACUCUAAACCCUAAUGUCUAAAUUAAUUUACCAUUAGGGUAUAAAUGUAUAUUUAUCUCUUUUGAUAAAACAUUAAAUACUACUAUUUUGAUCAUUUUUAUUCUUAGAAACUAUAUUUGUGACAAAAAACUUUUUUAGUGCUAUCCUAGUCAUUUUCUCAACAAAAUAGUUGACCAACAAAAAAAGAGAACAGAACAAAAUUGUAAUAUUUGAUCAAAAAAACAAAAUUGUAGUGUUUCACACUGUAUUUAAAUAUUUAAUAAAAAUGUCACCUCCAUUUUUCAACCCAUUUAAUUUUCAUCCUCUCCACUCUCUUUAUAAACACAUCUCUCUCUACGCUUAAAAAAGUCAGCGCUCUCUUUUGUCUCCUUUGCUUUCUCUUCUCUCCACAGAGAUUCUCAGAAGCCUUUGUCUCUCCUGAGAAAUCAAAUCAAUGGCGGACGAUUGGGAUCUACACGCCGUAGUCAGAGGUUGCUCAGCCGUCAGCUCAUCUGCAACCACCGUCUUCUCUGGCGCCGUUUCAUCUCACACGAACCCUAUGUUCACCUACGAAGAACAGAGUAAAGCAGUCUUGUUCAGAGAUAUUCAAGACUUCUACACGCCGUUCACACAAGAAUCAAAUGUAUCCUCGUUUUCUUGUCUGAAUUAUCCAGAAGAACCCAGACAGAGACAAAACCAGAAACGUCCUCUUUCUCUCUCUGCUUCUUCUGGUAGCGUCACUAGCAAACCCACCGGCUCCAAUACCUCUAGAUCUAAAAGAAGGUUCGUUUAUUUUUCUUACCAGUUCAACAAGAACCACUAAAGCUUAAACCUUUUGACGAACCCAUGAAGAAGUUUAUGAAAUUUUGCGUUUUAUUUGUCGAAUCCUCCAAGAAAUUUUGUGUUUUUUUUGUUGGACCCCAUCAACUUAUUUUCGAAUUUAAAUAUGUGUAGAUAGAUGUCUAAAACGUCUCUGUGUUGUGUUGCUUGUUUCAGAAAGAUACAGCAUAAGAAAGUGUGCCAUGUAGCAGCAGAGGCUUUAAACUCCGAUGUUUGGGCAUGGCGAAAGUACGGACAAAAACCCAUCAAAGGUUCACCCUAUCCAAGGUACUAUACAUGAAAAAGAUUAAUUGUUCUUUAAAGACUUAUGAAUGUGUGUAUUCUUUCGAGACAAAACACUUGUCCGUCUUUGUGACUCUGCUUUAAAUGAUCUCUGUUUCUAUUUCUAAUGUACGUCCGUUUAAAACAGAGGAUACUACAGAUGUAGUACAUCAAAAGGAUGUUUAGCCCGUAAACAAGUGGAGCGAAACAGAUCCGACGCGACGAUUUUUAUUGUCACUUACACGGCUGAGCAUAACCACCCAGCUCCUACUCACCGUAAUUCUCUCGCCGGGAGCACUCGUCAGAAAUCAUCUGAUCACCCGACGACCACGAUUGCUACUUAUUCAUCGUCUCCGGUGACGUCAACAGACGAGUUUGUCUUGCCUGCGGAGGAUCUAGCGGUCGGAGAUCUAGACGGAGACGAGGAUUUGUUGUCUUUGUCGGAUACAGUGGUGAGCGAGGAUUUCUUCGAGGGGUUGGAGGAGUUCGCCGGCGGAGAUAGCUUUUCCGGGAAUUCUUCUCCGGCUAGUUUUGAUCUCUCUUGGGUUGUAAACAGUGGCGCCGCAAUUAGCGGCGGAAUAUGAUUCGCGGGGGACUAGACGACGGCUUAGAAUAACUCUUUUAGGAAUAAGAUUAUAGUAUUUUUUUUUUGUUUAAAUUUAAAUUUUGAUUAUAUUAUGUUUAUUUAAUAUAUAAAUAUUAUAAUCUAUUAAAAAAAUAUAAAUAGUAUAAUCUAUGAUUUGUCUGUGAUACGCGUGGAAUAUUUGCCAUUUGUUUAGUGACUUAAACGUAUUUGAAAAUAUUCAUUUUCAACGUUAGUUUGUGGAUGAGAAAUGUCGAUUGGAAUUUAAUAGUGUGUGUUUGUUAUUAUAUACCCUUGAAAUGCUAAUGUAACGUUGCCGUAGGGAGUUUGUGAAGGUUAUUUGUUUCAUCUGAAUGUAAAUGUCUGUGCACCAGCAUUCGAUAUUCUUUUUCGGUUUAGGAAAUUGUUGUAAUUAGAGAGUUUAGAGACUGAAUAUUUCUGUGUUCUUAUUAAUGAACAAGGAUUCCUUAUAUAAGGAUUACAAGAUAAAGAUAAAUGGAAAGAGUACAUAUCAUAAUCCAACAGGAAAUAGGAAAACUACUAAAACAUAGAAAAGGAAAACAUCAUAAGUUCUAAGUCGGCUAGAUCAUUGGUCGACUCUCUCUCCUCCUUGCGGCCGCGGUUGGGCUUGAUGUGGCCGACAGGCUUUCUUCUCUUGUCUUGGUUAAUGGCAAUCCACUCCAUGAUUUAUAACACUCCCCCUUGGAUGCCAUAACCAUACAAGUUUUCUAGUACGCUUCAUGUUGCCUCAUUAAAACCUUAUCAGGAAAACCCAGUGGGACAAAACCAUGAUAAAGGAAAAAGAGUACAACACGCACUACUCCCCCUGAUGUGAACCUCAGUGUAGGUUCUACAUUCUACGCAUCUUGGUGCGUGAUAUUUCUUGUAUGUAUAGGAUGGGAGUAAUCGGCCAGUUUCAUUACUGAACCGUAAUUAGACCACUUCGACUUCUUAGGUCGUUUCUCAUGUCCUUUGACAUCGAGUGUCCCGGUAAAGCAUAUGUGCUAAGCAAUGUGAAUCACAUUGUCCUCGGAGAUCACUAUUGGGUCUUUGCAAAUCGUGUUUGCAUAUGUCCAUAGUCUAGACGUGAUCGUCUACUCUUAACUCUUUACUAUGGUCGGAUAAACCAAGUACUCAUGGACAAUGUACUAAACAUGGUUAUCAUGAACCUAUGUCUCGGUGUAUCUUCUAUACACAGAUGUAUAUCAAUGGCUUUAUAAUUUUACCAUACUAUGGCUUAUUGGCCAGAACAUAUUCAUGAUCCAUACAUAUGGUCAUCGAUCUUUCUUGCUUUAGGCAAUACCAUAUGUAUUUAUCUCGGACAUUGCAGUCCUUUAUCCAUCUCUUGAUGGUGUCUCAUGACCUCUGUUGCUGUGGAUUAUAUCACACACUGAAAUAUAUAUUAUUAGGUCAUAGAUCUCGGCUCUCACAAGCUUAUGGACUACAAUACAUUUGUAUCCGGUUGAUCUUUUGUCUCUACUAGCCCGUGAUCAAGAAGAAGGGCCAGACGCCUUUUAGUCUUAAAAGCCGGACGCGUCUAGUAGAAGAGCCAGACGAGCUAUAAGCAACUCAUAUUACUCUGUACACUUGUUUCAUGUUCACAUAGUAUUAUUCUAACCAUACAGCACAUAUAUAUUUUUAAUCAACUGUAAAAUAAAACAUGUUUACACAAAAAAAGAAAUUUGUUUUAGAGGAUUCCCAAUAUAUGUUCGGAUCCAAAGUCAGAUUGCUAGCUAGCUAUAAGCAACUCAUAUUACUCUGUACACUUGUUUCAUGUUCACAUAGUAUUAUUCUAACCAUACAGCACAUAUAUAUUUUUAAUCAACUGUAAAAUAAAACAUGUUUACACAAAAAAAGAAAUUUGUUUUAGAGGAUUCCCAAUAUAUGUUCGGAUCCAAAGUCAGAUUGCUAGCUAGCUAUAAGCAACUCAUAUUACUCUGUACACUUGUUUCAUGUUCACAUGGUAUUAUCUUAUUUAUUUACCACAUAUGUUACUAGUUUCAUGUUUAUUAAUUGUUUUAGUAUGGUUACCAAGUAGGCAAGUACCACCUUCUGUACUACAUACUCUAUAAUUUAUUUUUAACAGGGCAAAUUUCCAAAAUAGCACAUUUCUAAGUUUAUGUCACAAAAAUAGUCCUCAAAAACUAAAAUGACUAAAAUAGCAUUUUAUCUUUUGAAAAUUUUAAUUUUUUUAUUUUUUUAUUUUUCAAAAUUUGAAAUCUUAUCCCAAAACCCAACUCCCCAACUCUAAACCCUAAAACCUAAACUCUAGACCCUAAACCCUAAACUCUAAACCCUAAACUCUAAACCCCACCCCUUAACUCUAAACCCUAAAUCCUAAACUCCACCCCUUAACUUUAAAUCCUAAACCCUAAAUCCCACCCCUAAACUCUAAACCCUAAACCCUAAACUCUAAACCUUAAACCAUAAACCCUAAACCCUAAAUCCUAAACCCCACCCCUUAACUCUAAACCCU